GGAAAACUAAUCGAGGAGAGAUGGCUGGCUGAUAAGAUGUGAACUUUGACAUAAAGGUUUCUGAGGAGCGAAACACGGCAAAACAAGAUACACGGACAGCACUUCGAGGUUGGCCCAUGCUGGUUUGGUCUGGAACCAGUCUGUGACAGAGCUGAUGAGUUCUGCAACAAACAGGCUCAACACCUUCAGGACCGUGGUCACGCUCACCAUGACCCCAAACACACUCCGCUGGACACCUACAGAGAACACAUGUCAAGCCGGGUCAGUCCCAAAGUAGCUGCAGAGGUCCUGAGGUUACACAGCAGCUGUCAUGGCUCAGAGCAAGACCAACCCCUGCUGGAGGUUAUUGGCAUUACAGAGCUGCACAAGUGGCUCAGUGCAGGC